rnacentral:rRNA from 1 species
AACGAACGCUGGCGGCGUGGCUAAGGCAUGCAAGUCGAACGGAUCUAUCCAACGGGUAACUGAAGGGUAGAUUAGUGGCGAACGGGUGAGGAAUACAUGGACAACGUACCCUGGACACGGGGAUAGCGGCGGGCCGCAAGGCUCUUUAGCGAAAGUGCCGGUAAUACCCGAUGAUCCCGCAUGGUCGCAUGAUCGUGUGGGCAAAGCUCCGACGGUCUGGGAUCGGUUCAUGCCCUAUCAGCUAGUUGGUGAGGUAACGGCUCACCAAGGCGGCGGACGGGUACCGGGCGUGAGAGCGUGACCCGGCACAUCGGAACUGAGAUACGGUCCGGACACC